UACGUAGGGUGCGAGCGUUGUCCGGAAUUAUUGGGCGUAAAGAGCUCGUAGGCGGUGUGUCGCGUCGGUCGUGAAAACUUGGGGCUUAACUCUGAGCUUGCGGUCGAUACGGGCAUCACUGGAGUUCGGCAGGGGAGACUGGAAUUCCUGGUGUAGCGGUGAAAUGCGCAGAUAUCAGGAGGAACACCGGUGGCGAAGGCGGGUCUCUGGGCCGAUACUGACGCUGAGGAGCGAAAGCGUGGGGAGCGAACAGG
rnacentral:rRNA from 1 species